rfam:Streptomyces thermoautotrophicus strain H1 H1_chromosome, whole genome shotgun sequence.
GGUCAAGCUACUAAGGGCACACGGUGGAUGCCUUGGCACCAGGAGCCGAUGAAGGACGUGGGAUGGCUGCGAUAAGCCUCGGGGAGCCGCCGACCAGGCUGUGAUCCGAGGAUCUCCGAAUGGGGAAACCCGGCUGGGGUCAUGCCCAGUCACCCUCGCCUGAACCCAUAGGGCGAGUGGAGGGAACGCGGGGAAGUGAAACAUCUCAGUACCCGCAGGAAGAGAAAGCAACCGCGAUUCCGUGAGUAGUGGCGAGCGAAAGCGGAACAGGCCAAACCCGCCACGUGGAGAAGCCGGCGGGCGUUGCGUGGCGGGGGUAGCGGGACCGUCCAGCCGGAUCCGCCGGUCCGGCAGGAGGCCAGCGCCGUUAGCCGAAGGUUCCUGGAACGGACCGCCGUAGACGGUGAGAGCCCGGUAGGCGAAAACGGUGGCAGCCUCCGGACGGGAUCCCAAGUAGCACGGGGCCCGAGGAAUCCCGUGUGAAUCCGCCAGGACCACCUGGUAAGCCUAAAUACUCCCUGGUGACCGAUAGUGGACCAGUACCGUGAGGGAAAGGUGAAAAGUACCCCGGGAGGGGAGUGAAAGAGUACCUGAAACCGUGUGCCUACAAACCGUCGGAGCCUGGCGUCCCUCGUGGACCGCUGGGUGACGGCGUGCCUUUUGAAGAAUGAGCCCGCGAGUUCGUGGCACGUGGCGAGGUUAACCCGUGAGGGGUAGCCGUAGCGAAAGCGAGUCCGAACAGGGCGUCGAGUCGCGUGCCCGAGACCCGAAGCCGAGUGAUCUACCCAUGGGCAGGGUGAAGCGCGGGUAAGACCGCGUGGAGGCCCGAACCCACCAGGGUUGAAAACCUGGGGGAUGACCUGUGGGUAGGGGUGAAAGGCCAAUCAAACUCGGUGAUAGCUGGUUCUCCCCGAAAUGCAUUUCGGUGCAGCGUCGCGCGUUUCUUGCCGGAGGUAGAGCACUGGAUGGCCUAGGGGGCCCACCAGCCUACCGAAGUCAACCAAACUCCGAAUUCCGGUAAGUCAGAGCGCGGCAGUGAGACCGCGGGGGAUAAGCUCCGUGGUCGAGAGGGAAACAGCCCAGACCACCGGCUAAGGCCCCUAAGCGUGCGCUAAGUGGUAAAGGAUGUGGAGUCGCAGAGACAACCAGGAGGUUGGCUUAGAAGCAGCCACCCUUUAAAGAGUGCGUAAUAGCUCACUGGUCGAGUGAUUCCGCGCCGACAAUGUAACGGGGCUCAAGCGCACCGCCGAAGCCGUGGCAUCGGCGCAUCCGCUCGGCGGCUUCCUUCGGGAGGCCGUCCAGGCGCGCCGAUGGGUAGGGGAGCUUCGUGUGGCGGGUGAAGCGGCGGGGUGACCCAGCCGUGGACGCCACGCGAGUGAGAAUGCGGGCACGAGUAGCGAGAGACGGGUGAGAAUCCCGUCCGCCGGAAGACCAAGGGUUCCAGGGCCAGGCUCAUCCGCCCUGGGUAAGUCGGGACCUAAGGCGAGGCCGCGAGGCGUAGCCGAUGGACAACGGGUUGAUAUUCCCGUACCCGUCACGGUGCGCCCAUCCCGAACCCGGAGAUGCUCACCGCCCCGAAUCCGCGGCUCCCCACGGGGAGUCCGUGGAGGAGGCGCGGGACCCGAUCCGGUAGUAGGGAAGCGACGGGGUGACGCGGUGGGGUAGCCCAUCCCGGGCGGUGGUAGUCCCGGGGUAAGGCGGUAGGCCGGCGCCCAGGCAAAUCCGGGCGCCACACAAGGCCGAGACCCGAUGCCGACCCGUAUGCGGGGAAGUGGGUGACCCCCGCCGCCGAGAAAAGCCUCUAGCGAGUGCCGUGGCGGCCCGUACCCCAAACCGACGCAGGUGGUCAGGUAGAGAAUACCGAGGCGAUCGGGCGAACCGUGGUUAAGGAACUAGGCAAAUUGCCCCCGUAACUUCGGGAGAAGGGGGGCCGGGCGGGGUGUACGCCCUUGCGGCGGAAGCUCUGCUCGGCCGCAGAGACCAGGCCCAAGCGACUGUUUACUAAAAACACAGGUCCGUGCCAAGCCGUAAGGCGCAGUAUACGGACUGACGCCUGCCCGGUGCCGGAACGUUAAGGGGACGGGUUAGCCGCCCUUCGGGGCGGCGAAGCUCAGAACCUAAGCGCCGGUAAACGGCGGUGGUAACUAUAACCAUCCUAAGGUAGCGAAAUUCCUUGUCGGGUAAGUUCCGACCUGCACGAAUGGCGUAACGACUUGGGCACUGUCUCAACCACGGGCCCGGCGAAACUGCACUGCGAGUGAAGAUGCUCGCUACGCGCGGCAGGACGGAAAGACCCCGGGACCUUUACUACAGCUUGGUAUUGGUGCUUGGUUCGGCUUGUGUAGGAUAGGUGGGAGCCUGCGAAGCCGGGACGCCAGUUCCGGUGGAGGCAUCGGUGAAAUACCACUCUGGUCGGAUCGGGCAUCUAACCCGGGUCCCUGAUCGGGAUCGGGGACAGUGCCUGGCGGGUAGUUUAACUGGGGCGGUUGCCUCCUAAAAGGUAACGGAGGCGCCCAAAGGUCCCCUCAGCCUGGUCGGAAACCAGGUGUGGAGUGCAAGGGCACAAGGGGGCUUGACUGUGAGACCGACGGGUCGAGCAGGAGCGAAAGCUGGGCCUAGUGAUCCGGCGGUGGCACGUGGAAGCGCCGUCGCUCAACGGAUAAAAGGUACCCCGGGGAUAACAGGCUGAUCCUGCCCAAGAGUCCAAAUCGACGGCAGGGUUUGGCACCUCGAUGUCGGCUCGUCGCAUCCUGGGGCUGGAGUCGGUCCCAAGGGUUGGGCUGUUCGCCCAUUAAAGCGGUACGCGAGCUGGGUUUAGAACGUCGUGAGACAGUUCGGUCCCUAUCCGCCGCGCGCGUAGGAGACUUGAGGGAGGCCGUCCCUAGUACGAGAGGACCGGGACGGGCGGACCUCUGGUGUGCCAGUUGUCCCGCCAGGGGCACGGCUGGUUAGCCACGUCCGUACGGGAUAACCGCUGAAAGCAUCUAAGCGGGAAGCCCUGCCCAAGAUGAGGUCUCCCACCGGGUCAACCGGGUAAGGCCCCCAGGUAGACGACUGGGUUGAUAGGCCGGACGUGUAAGCCUGGUAACAGGUUCAGCGGACCGGUACUAAUCGGCCGAGGGCUUGACCCC